UGCCUCAGCAGCAGGUGCCUUGAAGUUGUCCUGCUUGGAGGUGCGGUCAGCCUAGCACGCCUACCCCCAAGGCCCUAGCUUAGAUUCGAAAGAGGGCCUGAGCCGGGCAGAACCUCUUAGCGACCUCAGAUUCGUUUAGGUUUCAGGCUCGGCUAGCUUCGAGUCAGGAUCUCGUUGCGCCUGGACAUGCACUGGUGUUGCUGGAGGCCUCCGGGGAAGGAGAGACAGCUGGUGGUGGACUAGACCCUGAGAAGCCACUGGGUGCUGCGGGGUGGGCGUCAGGAUGGGUGCGGCUUAGGGGGAUGUUAGCAGGGCCAGAUUGUCAGUGCUGGCCGCCGCACAGAUCUGAGAACCCCAAUAGAAGCGAAUGGGGUGGGGCCGGAGAAGCGACCCUGGGUAUGGGCAGCACUUGCUAACUUCGUUCGAGGAGACCCCAAAGUGCACUGCUUGGGCUCACUCGGGGGCCAGUUACCCCCAUUUCUAGGGAUUUCGAUUUCUUGGGAUCAGAUCAAAGGUGACGGUGCAGCGCCGCUGCCUCUAGCGCUUGUCAAUUGUUCUUGGCAGCCAGCAGAGUUCACUGUGACUCGAGGAGAAUCCCUUCCUUCAGGGGUUCAUUUCCUAUCCAUCCCAACUGCAUUAUCCCUGGGGCCCCUUUCACCUGCCUUCCCUGGAUUUGGGAAAGGGACCAGGAAUUGCCUGGCCUGGGGCCUGUCAAUGAUAUGAAGUUAUCGCAACCAGCAACUCUUCCAGUCUACCGCGAAUCCUUUGAUAUUUGGCUAAAUUCUAUCCUCAGCCCUCGUAAUAGAGAACCAGGAGUUCAACUGGAAAAUUGGCAUUUAGGAGAUGGGCCAGCAGCCGGGGCGCCUGGGGCUGAGCAGAGAGGGCAGAGGCUUUUUCUCUCGCCGGAUCCAUCAGCUCUUUCCAGCGUCUGGUGCAGAAAAAAACCUGGGAUGAGGAGAGUUCCCUGAAUUCCUGGGUACCGGCCCCACCUCGCUCCUAAAACCUGAGCCUGCUAGACUAAUGUGAAUAACAAUACAUUUCUAUAGCACUUUCAGCUAACAAGGUGUGUUUU
ensembl:lncRNA